rnacentral:rRNA from 1 species
UACAGAGGUCUCAAGCGUUGUUCGGAUUCAUUGGGCGUAAAGGGUGCGUAGGCGGCGCGGUAAGUCGGGUGUGAAAUCUCGGGGCUUAACUCCGAAACUGCAUUCGAUACUGCCGUGCUUGAGGACUGGAGGGGAGACUGGAAUUUACGGUGUAGCGGUGAAAUGCGCAGAUAUUGGGAGGAACACCAGUGGCAAAGGCGGCACUCUGGGCCAGUACUGACACUGAGGAGCGAAAGCGUGGGGAGCAAACAGG